rnacentral:rRNA from 1 species
UACGUAGGGUGCAAGCGUUAAUCGGAAUUACUGGGCGUAAAGCGUGCGCAGGCGGUUGUGUAAGCCAGAUGUGAAAGCCCCGGGCUCAACCUGGGAAUGGCAUUUGGGACUGCAAGGCUUGAGUGCGGCAGAGGAGACUGGAAUUCCUGGUGUAGCGGUGGAAUGCGCAGAUAUCAGGAGGAACACCGGUGGCGAAGGCGGGACUCUGGGCCGAUACUGACGCUGAGGAGCGAAAGCGUGGGGAGCAAACAGG